rnacentral:rRNA from 1 species
GUGCCAGCCGCCGCGGUAAAACGUAGGUACCGAGCGUUAUCCGGAUUUACUGGGCGUAAAGCGUGUUCAGGCGGUCUAGCAAGUCGGGCAUGAAAUCUCUGGGCUCAACCCGGAGGGGUUGUCCGAUACUGCUGGGCUUGAGGGCAGCAGAGGGUGGUGGAAUUCCGGGUGUAGUGGUGAAAUGCGUAGAUAUCCGGAGGAACACCAGUGGCGAAGGCGGCCACCUGGGCUGUACCUGACGCUCAAACACGAAAGCUAGGGGAGCGAACGGGAUUAGAUACCCCGGUAGUCC